CUGGCGGCAUGCCUUACACAUGCAAGUCGAACGGCAGCACGGGAGCAAGUCCUGGUGGCGAGUGGCGAACGGGUGAGUAAUAUAUCGGAACGUGCCCAGUCGUGGGGGAUAACGUAGCGAAAGCUACGCUAAUACCGCAUACGAUCUAUGGAUGAAAGCGGGGGAUCGCAAGACCUCGCGCGAUUGGAGCGGCCGAUAUCAGAUUAGGUAGUUGGUGAGGUAAAGGCUCACCAAGCCGACGAUCUGUAGCUGGUCUGAGAGGACGACCAGCCACACUGGGACUGAGACACGGCCCAGACUCCUACGGGAGGCAGCAGUGGGGAAUUUUGGACAAUGGGCGCAAGCCUGAUCCAGCAAUGCCGCGUGCAGGAUGAAGGCCUUCGGGUUGUAAACUGCUUUUGUACGGAACGAAACGGUGAGCUCUAAUACAGUUUGCUAAUGACGGUACCGUAAGAAUAAGCACCGGCUAACUACGUG
rnacentral:rRNA from 1 species